rnacentral:rRNA from 1 species
CAGUCGCCACGGUAAUACGUAGGUGGCAAGCGUUGUCCGGAAUUAUUGGGCGUAAAGGGCUCGCAGGCGGUUUCUUAAGUCUGAUGUGAAAGCCCCCGGCUCAACCGGGGAGGGUCAUUGGAAACUGGGAAACUUGAGUGCAGAAGAGGAGAGUGGAAUUCCACGUGUAGCGGUGAAAUGCGUAGAGAUGUGGAGGAACACCAGUAGCGAAGGCGACUCUCUGGUCUGUAACUGACGCUGAGGAGCGAAAGCGUGGGGAGCGAACAGGAUUAGAUACCCGCGUAGUCCCUGUCUCUUAUAC